ACUGUGUUGACAGCCCUGGGCUGGAGGAAAGGCAGCAGUCUUCACAGAGCUCACUUUACGGCUGGGCUCACCCUUCACCCCAAGACAGCUUUGAUCACUGGGAAGUUUCCACAAACACAGAAUGAAUGAGGAAGAAGGUGAUUAUAUUUUCGGUGUGAUCCACGUGGACGAGAGGUGUUGCAUGUUUUUACAAAUUGAAGAUCUGUGACAACCCUGGGUCAAGCAAGUCUAUCAGUGCCAUUCUUCCAACAUAGGUGUAUAUGCUGGAGCAGCUGUACUUAAGUCCAGAAAUAAGAAGAUAUUUGAUCUGAGGACUCAGGAGAGAGCAUGGCUGCUGCAUAGAUGGUGCCUUCCAUCGCUUGACAUAGGGAAGCCCAGCCAAAGCCUGUGUCUUGGGCAGCCGGGGAGCUCUCAGGAUGGCUUGAAAUCUCCCACAUGGCCUGGGCCUGUUCUCCUUCCCCUCCAGCUCUCCUGGGUGCAGUCAAAGCUUCACUCCCUACACCCUACUGAACUAUCAGCUGACUGAUUCCCACUUGUCCAUGCCCCAGGACCCCACAGAAGCUCCACAUGCUUCCACAAGCUGAUGCACCAGUUCCAAGAGGAGGAAGAAAAGCUGGCACUCAGCCUUUAUUUCUCCCCAAACACCACAGUCAUUCAAUUCUGAAAAAAAAAAAAAAAAAAAAACCCAUUGCUUUGAAAAACAUAAAAUGAGAUCUAUCAAACAGCAUCUUGUAUUUUAAAGUGGAAAGAAUGGACUUUGGAAUCAUCUUUGGCAGCUAAUAGGCUGGGACACGCAGAGAAAGAGCUUGCCUGCCUCUGCAGACAUUCCUUGGACGAGUGGUUCUAAAUCCCAGCUACACACUCAAAUAGCUGCAGGAGGUUUAAAAACUGUCAAAUCUCCCAGCCCCUGCCCAGCC
rnacentral:lncRNA from 1 species